UUUGACACGACAUUGCUCACAUUGCUUCCAGUGUAUUUAUAGCUUUAUAAGAAAGCGAUUUGGUC
rfam:Vibrio mangrovi strain CECT 7927 genome assembly, contig: 0007